rnacentral:rRNA from 1 species
CGGUUUAGUAAGUUCCUGGUAAAAUCGGGUAGCUUAACUAUCUAUAUGCUAGGAAUACUGCUAUACUAGAGGGCGGGAGAGGUCUGAGGUACUACAGGGGUAGGGGUGAAAUCUUAUAAUCCUUGUAGGACCACCAGUGGCGAAGGCGUCAGACUGGAACGCGCCUGACGGUGAGGGACGAAAGCCAGGGGAGCGAACCGGAUUAGAUACCCGGGUAGUCCUGGCCGUAAACGAUGCAUACUAGGUGAUGGCACGGCCAUGAGCCGUGUCAGUGCCGUAGGGAAACCGUUAAGUGUGCCGCCUGGGAA